rnacentral:rRNA from 1 species
UGAAGUGAUGAUGGCAGAGAGGUCACACCCGUUCCCAUACCGAACACGGAAGUUAAGCUCUCUAGCGCCGAUGGUAGUUGGGGGCUUCCCCCUGUGAGAGUAGGACAUCGCUUCGC